rnacentral:snoRNA from 1 species
ACGACCUUACUUGAACAGGAUCUGUUCUAUAGGCUUGUAAUCCUUGAGUUCUAAGGAGACAGGAAACUAAGUCUGGUGGAUGAAUCAUGGCCAAGAGGCUAGAGCGUGAGUAACAGCACCGUACCUUCACCGGGCGGAGCCGUCGAGGAUCGUUCCUGGCCGUCUAGCAGCGGCUGGGAUGGCCUCUUGGCUGUCUGACAGGCU